rnacentral:rRNA from 1 species
AUUGAACGCUGGCGGCAUGCUUUACACAUGCAAGUCGAACGGUAACAGGGAGCUUGCUCCGCUGACGAGUGGCGAACGGGUGAGUAAUGCGUCGGAACGUGCCGAGUAGUGGGGGAUAACGCAUCGAAAGGUGUGCUAAUACCGCAUACGUACUGAGGUAGAAAGUGGGGGACCUUCGGGCCUCACGCUAUCCAAGCGGCCGACGUCUGAUUAGCUAGUUGGUGAGGUAAAGGCUCACCAAGGCGACGAUCCGUAGCGGGUCUGAGAGGAUGAUCCGCCACACUGGGACCGAGACACGGCCCAGACUCCUACGGGAGGCAGCAGUGGGGAAUUUUGGACAAUGGGCGCAAGCCUGAUCCAGCCAUGCCGCGUGUGUGAAGAAGGCCUUCGGGUUGUAAAGCACUUUCGGCCGGAACGAAAUCGCCUCCGUUAAUAGCGGGGUGGAUGACGGUACCGGAAGAAGAAGCACUGGCUAACUACGUGCCAGCAGCCGCAGUAAAAC